CCUACGGGUGGCUGCAGUGGGGAAUAUUGGACAAUGGGGGCAACCCUGAUCCAGCCAUGCCGCGUGUGUGAAGAAGGCCCUCGGGUUGUAAAGCACUUUCAGUGAGGAAGAACGCCUGGUGGUUAAUACCCAUCAGGAAAGACAUCACUCACAGAAGAAGCACCGGCUAACUCCGUGCCAGCAGCCGCGGUAAUACGGAGGGUGCGAGCGUUAAUCGGAAUUACUGGGCGUAAAGCGCGCGUAGGUGGCUUGAUAAGCCGGUUGUGAAAGCCCCGGGCUCAACCUGGGAAACGGCAUCCGGACCGGCAAGCUAGGAUGGCAGGGGGGGAGGGAGAAUUCCCGGGGGUGCGGUGAAAAGCGGUGAGGUCCGGAGGAAUACCAGUGGCGAAGGCGGCCUUCUGGACUGACACUGACACUGAGGUGCGAAAGCGUGGGUAGCAAACAGGAUUAGAUACCCUAGUAGUC
rnacentral:rRNA from 1 species